GUGCUUAUUAAAUAGGACUGUGAGACUUUCCUCAUGGGGGCCUCCUGUGCAACAGCUGCCGACAGUAGCCUCCUUGGUAGUGUAUGCAGCCUGUUGCUUGUAUGAGUUGCUCUAAGGGACCUUGGAGACAGUC
ensembl:snoRNA SNORA70 Small nucleolar RNA SNORA70